UUUUUUAACUUUUUCAGGUUGAACAAAGAAAUUCAUUGGCGCAGGGUUUGAAUCUGCGACCAAGGAAUUGCCCUAUCCAGCCCUAUUUAUCGUAAUGCACCGGUCAGUUUCCCUGUGUGGUUUAUCACAUUCAAAAUGACCAGCCAACCCUCACAAGCUUGGUGGUCCAGUGGUACGUUAGACCCCACGUAAGCUCAAAAGUGUAGGUACUAGUGGGUAGUAAGCUGUAGGUACUAGUGGGUAGUAAGCUGUAGGUACUAGUGGGUAGUAAGCUGUAGGUACUAGUGGGUAGUAAGCUGUAGGUACUAGUGGGUAGUAAGCUGUAGGUACUAGUGGGUAGUAAGCUGUAGGUACUAGUGGGUAGUAAGCUGUAGGUACUAGUGGGUAGUAAGCUGUAGGUACUAGUGGGUAGUAAGCUGUAGGUACUAGUGGGUAGUAAGCUGUAGGUACUAGUGGGUAGUAAGCUGUAGGUACUAGUGGGUAGUAAGCUGUAGGUACUAGUGGGUAGUAAGCU